UAGGGAAUUUUCGUCAAUGGGCGCAAGCCUGAACGAGCGAUGCCGCGUGAGUGAAGAAGGCCUUCGGGUCGUAAAGCUCUGUUGCGGGGGAAAAAGGCAGCAUCAGGAAAUGGGUGCUGACUGAUGGUGCCCCGCCAGAACGUACACGGCUAACUACGUGCCAGCAGCCGCGGUAAUACGUAGGUGGCGAGCGUUAUCCGGAAUGAUUGGGCGUAAAGGGUGCGCAGGCGGUCCUGCAAGUCUGGAGUGAAACGCAUGAGCUCAACUCAUGCAUGGCUUUGGAAACUGGAGGACUGGAGAGCAGGAGAGGGCGGUGGAACUCCAUGUGUAGCGGUAAAAUGCGUAGAUAUAUGGAAGAACACCAGUGGCGAAGGCGGCCGCCUGGCCUGUUGCUGACGCUGAGGCGCGAAAGCGUGGGGAGCAAAUAGGAUUAGAUACC
rnacentral:rRNA from 1 species